AACAAACGCUGGCGGCGUGCCUAACACAUGCAAGUCGUACGAGAAAGUCGGCUUCGGCCGAUGAGUACAGAGGCGCACGGGUGAGUAGCGCGUGGGUAAUCUGCCCCUCGGUCAGGAAUAACGCGCCGAAAGGCGGGCUAAUAACCGAUAACACUGACGCGCUGCGCCGUGUCUUUCAAAGAAGGCCUCUGUUUACACUCUUUCUCCGGGUGAUGAGCCCGCGUACCAUUAGCUAGGUGGCAGGGUAAUGGCCUACCAAGGCAACGAUGGUUAGCUAGUCUGAGAGGAUGGCCAGCCACACUGGAACUGAGACACGGUCCAGACUCCUACGGGAGGCAGCAGUGAGGAAUCUUGCGCAAUGGGGGAAACCCUGACGCAGCAACGCCGCGUGAGUGAGGAAGGCUUUCGGGUCGUAAAGCUCUGUCAGAUGGGAAGAAAUGGAUGGAAGCCAAUACCUUUCAUUCUCGACGGUACCAUCAGAGGAAGCACCGGCUAACUCCGUGCCAGCAGCCGCAGUAA
rnacentral:rRNA from 1 species